UCUGUAAAAUAAGGAAGGUCCAGCCCUGGCCCAGUGACAAUGUUCAACGGCCGCGGUAUCCUAACCGUGCGAAGGUAGCGUAAUCACUUGUUCUUUAAAUGAGGACUAGUAUGAAUGGCACCACGAGGGUUGCACUGUCUCCUUUCCCUAAUCAAUGAAACUAAUCUCCCCGUGAAGAAGCGGGGGUACUAAUAUAAGACGAGAAGACCCUAUGGAGCUUUAAAUUUCUCUUCAAACGCCAGACACAAACAUCUGACACUUUACAUUAACCCGACGCCUUGAAGAUGAAUUUUAGGUUGGGGUGACCAUGGAGAACAAAAUAACCUCCACGCUGAAAAGGCCUCCAAGCCUUGAGCCGAGGGCUACAACCCAACGCACUAAAAAAUUAACACCCAUUGACCCAAUAUUUUUGAUCAACGAACCAAGUUACCCUAGGGAUAACAGCGCAAUCUACUUCAAGAGUCCCUAUCGACAAGUGGGUUUACGACCUCGAUGUUGGAUCAGGGUAUCCCAGUGGUGCAGCCGCUACUAAAGGUUCGUUUGUUCAACGAUUAAAACCCUACGUGAUCUGAGUUCCAGACCGGA
rnacentral:rRNA from 1 species